CGCAGUUUUAUCAGACAGGUUGUUUCAAACAGACUCAGCUACUUCCUCAUCUGACACAUUUACUGUUGUGUAGUGAAGCAGUUCGUAUGUGCAGCUGAUAAUUCAGGUGACAUAAAGAGGAACAGAUCUCUGCUCGCUCGCCUCUAAACAAGUAAACAUCAGGUUGAUUCAAUGCAUCCAGCAAGUUGUUCAGCAGGAAAACUUCAUCCUCACCUGCUUGUUCAUGGUUCCUGAGAACAGCUGACAGACAAAACAUCUCACAAGAACAGGGAGAAGAUGAUCUGGAUCCUGCUGCUCCUCGUUCUGGCCUCCUCUGUCUGUGGUUAGUUUGAUGUUUAAGGCUCAGUACAGAUCCUGAAAAGAUGGUGCUGGAGGUCUCUGAACAUUUUGUCUUGAAUGUGACUCAGACGCCUCAUGGAGGGACCAGCCAUGUGUUCCUCACCACACCCAAGAUAACUGAAGGUGUAAAACACACACCAGGAGGUCCAAAGAAGAAGAAGUUAGAUCAUAUGAUUGAAACAAAGUUAAAACAACUCUCGGAGCUGCAAACUGCAGAGUUCUAAUAGUUGCUGGUCUAAUAUUUCUAGUAGAUGCAGUAUGCGUUUGUUGAGGUAAAAGAAGAUCACGACCGGGACAGAAGUUUCUUCACUGAGCUUCUGAUAAAGAUCAGUACCAAGAGUGAGUCAUAUCAACUCAUUCAGCUGAACCACUUCCAUCAGAUCCAAACUACUAGAGGGAAACAUCAUAAUUAAUGUGUGGUUGACUUCAUCCUCACAGUAACAGUGUUGAUCAGAGAAGUGAGUGUUUGGUGUGUCAGCUUGUCUUCUUUGUGAUGUUUUUCCUUCCUCUCACUGAUUCUAAUACAACUUACAGACAAUAACUUCAACUUAAUGAUGAUGUGUAAUCCAUCACAGACAACUAGAUGCUUUUA